GGGAGCAUCCCCCAGUGCUGCAGCACGAAGAUUGGCGGGAGGAUUUUCGGAGAGAAUUGUAUCGUCCGGUUUGAGUCUUAUCAGUUUUAUAAUUUGUCGGCCAUUGAGAACCAGACGGCACCGCCUCCUCCGCAAUCGAAUGGGACGCCAGCACCGCCGGCAGGGUCGGGUCAGAAUACGGGUAGUGGCAGCAGUGGAACGGGCGGUAAGGGUAGCGGAGGUAAGUCAAAGUCUCUUUCCCUCCUUGACUCUCCCCACUGUAGGAUUUGCUUUUGGGGGGUUCUAGGAAAUUCCUGUUGUAGGGGCAUGUGGGGGAUCACAUUAACUCGUGUGAGGUGGGUAGAAUUGCAGGACAUCGUUUGACCCCUUUGUUAAUUACGUGCGAAAAUCAUCCACUAACGAAGGGAUGUUGCUUUGACUGUAAACAAUAUGGUCGUCAAUUUGGUAUAGGAAAAAAAAAAAAAAAACCUUUUAAAAGACUUUCAUUAUUUUUUUCUAAGAACUCAAUUAAAAACAUAAAAUAACUAACUUCAAACAUAAAAUCUCAUGUACUAUUUAUUAAAUUUUUAGCCAAUUACAUUAAUACGAUCAGUAACAAAUAUAAAAAAGUUGAAAGCCAUAAGUGUACGUAUAUACAUACGAAUGGAAAGUUAUGUCACUUAGGAGAACGAACUGACUCAUUUUGCUUGAUUCACAUCCCUCUUUAACUUUUGAAUAUAUAAACUCAUGAAAAUUAACUAUUCCUUUAACUGCUUAGCCAUUUAAACUUACAAAACCAAUAUUGUAUCAGCUUUAAAAAAAAUCAAAAUAGUCUUUCCUUUUUUUAGAGAAAGAUAAUAUACUAUCUGUUUCAUUCGUAUAGAAAAUAAAUUUAGCAGACAAUUCAAUCUCGUAAAAGUUAAAGGUAGCUGCACAAAAAAAAAGUAAGAAAAAUAAAAAUAAAAUAAAGAGUUCACUUAGAGCUGCAGAACUCAGCCCAGGCCACUUUUUUCCCAAGUCCCAAAAUUGUUGAAUAAAGAUUAGGAGAUUUGAAGAUUGAUUCCUAAAAUUAUGUUGUUCUUCCUGCCAAAUCAUCCACCAACAGAAUGCGACCUUGGUCACAUCUUUUGCUGAUACCUUUUGGGAGCUAUUCUCAGACAGAAACUAUCAGACACCCCUGGCCUCCACCAUGGAUCCCGAAAUGUGUCUACCUUCAAUUAUGUUGAACAUCAGAAAUCUGCUGAAUAUGCAUCCCACGAGUAAAUGAUUCACAAUCUCAGCUUAGCUACCACACAAAAUGCACUUUUGAUUCUAGGACCAGCCGAUUUUAAGUAGAUUAUCAACCAUGGGUAGUUGCUUCUUAAGGGCUAGCUAAAUAAAAAUUCUAACUUUAUACGGUAUUUUUAGAUCCCCAAGUUUUAGAGGAAGAAUAUCUCGCAUACCCCCCAUCUCUGAUCAACGGAUACAUCGACUUAACAGUAAAGCCCAUUAACAGUAAAGCCCAUCUACACAUUCCAUCUCAACCAGAUUUCCUUCGGCCUAUCUAUCAUGUGAAAAAUAGAAAGGAGGUCCUUGAAUUCUCUAAUUCUGCAAUCACCUCUCGACAUCCCAACUCCAACCCCUCUAAGGAUCUUUCUCUAUCUCUAGCCUUGAGUGGAGAGACAUUCCUUGACUAAAACUCCUUUUUUUGUUACACUUUUGUAAAUACUAGGAAAGAGUAUUUUCAGAGAAGUUUCUUCGCACCACCUAGCUAUCAGACUAUAAGUCAAUAUAUUGUCCAUCUUCAAGAUCAAAGUAAGUGCUAAAUUUAAAGAUUUUCUUAGUGGAAAAUACAUUAUUCCAAUAUUGUGAAAAUGGUUUAAACGUUCUUCCUUAACUCAAAGGUUUUCUCCUUUUAUAAUAUAAUUUUCUAAUAAGAGUGUUCCAUUGUAUCUCCUGAUCUUUGAAUAAAUGCUGCUACCAUUUCGAAAGUAGAAUGUCGUUCAUCAAGGCAAGAUCCUUCACCCCAAGUCCUUUCUUAUCCCUGUAAAUAUAUUUUCAUGCUAUCAUACGUGCACCUGCCUUGACACCCACUAUCCCUUUCCAGAAGAAAUCCCGCCUCAGUGUCUUAAUUCUUUUAACGACCCAUUUCGGAGCCUUGGAAAUUGAGAAAAAAUACAGUAGCAGGUUAAUUAGUACUGAGUUCACCAGUGUACGUUUACCUCCUUUAGAAAGUAACUUAGUUUGUCAGCCAUCAAUCCUCCUUCCUUAUCUAUGAUCACAACUGAGUCCUUUUCGAGGAGAGCUUUGUUAGAUAAUGGUAGCUCCAGAUAUUUAGUUGGUAACUUUCCCACUUUGCAUCCCAAGUACAUUGCAAGACAGGUAUCUCUGGUCUGCCUCCCAUAUAAAAUAAUUUCGUUUUCUCUUUAUUCAUAAUCUUCACAAAUUUCUUCUUUGCCUCAAAAAAUAGUGUCAUCCGCGAAUUGAGUGAGUGUCACCAAGCUAUCCUUAAAGGGUCCAAUACCUCUAAGUAGAUCAUGUGAGUUUGCCAUCUCCGUCAUCCAGGCUAGAUACUCUGCCACCAAAAGGAAAAGAUAGGACGAAAGGAGAUCUCCCUGCCUUGCUCCUUUUUUAUUUUGAUCCAGUUAAUGGUUGCGCUAUUAAUCAUCACCCCCACCUUGGCGUUACAAAAUUUGCUUCUUCAUCCAACGACACCAUUUGGCAUUGAAGCCUAACAUUCCAUAAUCUUAAAAAGAAAAAUCCAACUAACCCUGUCGUAGGCCUUUUCAAAAUUCACCUUUUUCGCUACUCACUCUGUAUUUUCUUUACAACCCCACGUAACUAAUUCACUAGCCGUGACGAAGGUGUCAAAUAGCAACCUCCUUCUAAUAAAAAUAGAUUGGGAUGUGGAGAUAAGGGCUGUCAAUAUGUCAUUCAGUUUAUUGGCGAGUACUUUAAAAAUAAUCUUCUGUAUUUCUUUUAGCAGGCUGAUAGAUUGGAAGUCAUUAGCUCGCACCGCACCUUUCUUUUUUCAUGUCAGACAAAUAUAGAAGAAAAUCAACAGGAUAUGUGGAGAUUUGUCCUUCAUACAGAUAAAUCAGAAUAGAGUACCUUCAGAAUAGCUUCAAAUUUUCUAGAAAUAACUUAAAUUAAAUGAAUCAAAAUUGAGUAGUACCUAAAAGAGACUAUUUCAAAAUGGCCUAUAGUUGAGGGAGUCCCUGCACGUACAUUUUUACCUUAUAGUUGAUUGCACCCAUGCUUUUGUGGCUUUCCUAGAUGUAGUCAAUGGAGCCCGAGAAGUCGAAGCAGUAGAAGGGCCAAAAGUCUCAUGCCUCUCAUUUAAGUGUCCAAACUAGCCUACUAUCAUUUUAAUGAGGGAUACUAAAAGACAAGAAAGAUAGCUAGAAAGGAACAGAUCCUACCAAAAGAAGGAAAUAAUAAUGAUUAUAAAGGAGCCUUUUGCACCAUUAUUAGCAAAUGGAUCAAUCUCAGGCAGUAUUCAAGGUAAAGUUUGAAUAUAAACAUAAAGGAUUUAUCAACCAAUAUUUAACAGUACUAUUACAUCAUCAUGGCCAGUAAUAAUCAAUGCAAUGAAAAAGGAGUUAAAAUAUAAUUAAAGCAACACUCAGGGAACAAAAAUUUAAUACAGAGAUUGUAAAGUUGCCGAAAAAAUACUCUUGCUCCCGACGCCGGCCAAGGCGGCGGAGGAGGAGGACGGCGACGACGAGAGCAGCGGUGGAAGAGGACGACGAGAGCGACGAGAGGGGUGGUGUUGGAGGUGGAGGUGUGGGAGGUGGUGGUGGUCUGGGAGGAGAUGAGGCGAGGUGGAGGCGGAGGAGCCGGCCGGUGGUGGCGACCAAGUUGGGGAAGAAAGAGAGGAUAAUCUUAGGGAUUAGUAUAAUAAGGUAGGGGCAAAAUAGGUAUUUUGUUUAGAUUUUAACUCUAGUAUAGAUUUAACCCAUGUUUAACCUGAGUUAAGCUAACAGGGGAUAACUGCGGGGAUAUUUUGGAAUAACGGUGGAACAUAUGAGGGGCAUUUUAAAAAGAAAAAAAAAGUAGGGAUAGAUCGGAUAUUUCCAAACGCAUGAAGGGUAUAUAGGCAAUUAUUCCUAAAAUAUAAUUAAAGCAACACUCAGGGAAUAAAAAUUUAAUACAGAGAUUGUAAAGUUGCCGAAAAAAUAUUCUUGUUUCAAUGAACAAAUAUUAUAUUUUGUUCUGUUUUCUCUGUUGGUUUGUCGCACUCAGAUGAAUUAUAAGUUGACAAUUGACAACGGCUACUUGUGUAUGCAGGAAAGAAGAAGAAUGUAACCAGCACAGUUCUAGCAAUAGCCAUACCUUUAGUGACUGCAUUUGUUACAAUUUCCACUAUUUGCAUUUUCUUUUGGAGGAGGAGGUGGAGGAGAUCUGCCCCAAAAGGACCACUAUACUGUAAGUUAAAAAGGACCACUAUAAUGUAAGUAAGAUGCACUGAAAUUACCAUUCAAAAUACCCAGCUGAAAGAAGCGACUCUCUCUCUCUCUCUCUCUCUCUCUCUUUAAUAGACUUUCUAUUUUUAAUUUUCUACUUGUUAAUGGAGCACUUUAGAAAACUCUAGAAACAAGUGCUCUCUAUUUGCUAAUAGAGCAAUUUAGAGAGCUCUAGAAAUAAGUGCUCCGGAGAAUUCUAAAGUACUCAAAUUGGUAGAUUAGAACCUAUAAAUAGGUGUGAGGCUCCCACACCAAGGGUGAGUGAGUGAAAUGUGUGUGUGAUGAAGUGUGUGAGGAAGUGUAGUGCGGUGUGGUGAGAUAUAGUGUAGAGAGUGAGGGUGUAUAAGAGGUUUAGUGUGUGAAUCUUUUAGUCUUUUGGGUGUAUGUGAUAAAAUUAUAUGUGAGAGUUAUUUUGUGUAAAAGAGAGAGUUUUUAUUAUUAGUUUGGUACGUCAGUAUUCUACACCAGGUCAGUUAUUUAAUGCAUAAUGAUAAUGACAGGGAUCUCUCUGUCUUUUCAAAGAAAAAAUGGCAAUAAUACAAAUAGAAGAAAAAAUGGCAAUAAUACAAAUAGAAAUAGUCACUACAAUAUAUGGACAUCGAUAUCAUAACCAUUGAGAAAACUAUUUCUGAAAUUAGAGAGCAGCAGAAACUUACACUAUGAAAAAAAAAAGGCAAACAAUAUAUCACAGAUCUGAUGUAAUUUAUUACAUAUUCUCCAGCUUACAUAGAUCAAACAAUGUUGAAUUCUAUUUAUUCUUUGAAUAGACGAAACCGAUGCAGAGGAGAUCAAAAGUGCUGAGUCACUGUUUAUUGAUUUAUCAACAUUAAGAGCUGCAACAGCUAACUUUGCUGAGGAGAAUAAGCUUGGAGAAGGUGGCUUUGGUGCCGUUUAUAAGGUAUCAUAAUAUUCACUAUAACUUGCCAUUUAGUGAGAAUUACAUGUGGCGAUAGUCUGAAUCCAUAUCAAAAUUCUUGUAUAAAAGAAGAUCAUCGCUAUUCUUGGGCUCAAACUAGUUUGAUAUCUAUCUCUACAAUUUGCUUGUUGAUCUAGCUUAUGAAACUACUUCUUUACUCUAAAAACCUGAAGCUUUUUAUGGGCCAAAAAGUUUAGUGUUUUGCUAUGCAGGAAGCUAUAAUGAGCUUAUGUGACCCAAGAACAACAUCCACCUUGAAGAUUCUAUUUCUGCUGCAUUGAGAAUGUGUUGGUGUCUUUUCUUAUUUUUAUUUUUUUUUAGUAGACUCUAUUUAAAUAACACUUUGGUAGAAGCUCAACAGGCCAAGGAGGCUCUCUAUUGUCACGGUUUAAUCUUGUGCACUAUAAUCUUAUAUACUCGAGCAGGGACUCUUACCUAAUGGAAGAGAAAUAGCAGUGAAGCGACUAUCAAAAGAUUCAGGACAAGGACUAGGAGAGCUUAAAAAUGAGUUAUUAUUGGUCGCAAAGCUCCAGCACAAGAACCUUGUGAGGCUUUUAGGUGUCUGCUUGGAAGAACAGGAGAAGCUGCUUGUCUACGAAUAUUUGCCUAAUAGAAGUCUAGACACUAUCCUUUUUGGUACAACUUUCAUUACAUACAACUUCUGCAAAAGAACUUAUCUCAUUUUACUUGCUGUAACAUAAUAAUAAGCUUAGUUUUUAUGUUUUUGUUUUUACAUUUUUUUUUUCCCUUUUUCAAAAUUGAUAUUCCCAAUUUAUUUGUUGUAUUCAAAUGAUACAGAUUCUGAGAAACGAGGAUGGCUAGAUUGGGGAAAAAGGUACAAGAUUAUUAGUGGAAUUGCUCGAGGCCUACUAUACCUACAUGAAGAGUCUCAGCUAAAAGUUGUACACCGAGAUCUAAAGGCGAGCAACAUUCUAUUAGAUGCCGAGAUGAACCCGAAGAUUUCAGACUUCGGCUUGGCAAGGCUUUUCGGAGGGGACCACUCUCAGGAAAUUACAAGACGAGUCGUCGGAACAUUGUAAGAAUCAAUUGUAACUCUGCCCAUAUUAUUCACAACCAUAAAAAUACUGCAGGAAAUUGAAUAUAUAUUAAUACUUGCUCAUGUUAUUGCAGUGGAUAUAUGGCGCCAGAGUACGCCAUGCAUGGGUACUUCUCAAACAAGUCAGAUGUAUUCAGUUUUGGUGUUAUGGUUUUGGAGAUUGUAGCCGGGAGGAAAAACGCUGGUUCCUUCAAUUCUGAGCAGUCUGAAGAUCUAAUAAACUAUGUAAGUUCAACACGGCAGUAGUUCUUGAAACUAAUUAGUAGACAUAAACAUAGUUUCUGUCAAACAAUUCCUCUUUUGAUAUAAUUAAAUCUAUAUACUAUGCAAAAUCAUCAACAUAGGUAUUCACAAACAACCUUCAAAACUUAAUUUCUUACAUAUAUAUAUAUACCCGUGUCUUACAAAACUGCCCCUGUUUAUGCAAAACCAUCUUCCCUCUUGGAAUUAGAUGACUCCCCUAAUUGACAUACAGUUUUUUCUGUCAGAAGUUAAACUAUACAGGGGCUUUUACAGAAGUCCUGAUUUUUCAGGAGUAUAAAUGAAUACAGAUGCUUUUACAGGAAUGCAAAUGUACAGAUAGGCCUUUCUUGACGAACUGAACAAAAUCUUAUGCAGACAUGGGAGAAUUGGACCAAGGGGACAAUAACAGAGGUAGUGGACUCAUCCUUAGGCAACCACUAUCCAAGAAGCGAGGUGCUGAGAUGCAUCCAUAUUGGGUUACUCUGUGUUCAAGAAAACCCGGCAGAUCGGCCCAACAUGUCGAGGGUCGUCGUGAUGCUGAGCAGUAGAACUGUGACCCUCGAAACUCCUUCAAAACCGGCAUUUUGCUUUGGAAUGAGUAGCAUGCAAUUCAACAUGUACUCGAAUGCAUCAAAGUAUCAUGGACUAGUAGCUGAACAAUCCUCGAGCAAGUCGAUUCCACCUUCGCCAAAUGAGGUGUCGAUCACGGAACUUGAGCCUAGGUAGUUGGAGAAAAAGAGAGGAUUCUGAAAGACUUAAAAAGUCUCAGAGACUUAAUGUUGGUGGAUUUAUCACUUCUAGUGCUUGAAUUAUCCUAUGAAGUAUUGUAACUGUAUUUGUAUCUUUUUGUAUGUAUUUUAAUGUCCUUCACAGCAAUGAAUUUCCAAAUUUUACUCAAAUUUGAAGAAAUGUUAUAGAUGGUUGGUAUUUACUAGGAUGAAAAAUGGUUACCUUGUUAUAAUUUUAUGUACUAUGCAUAGAAAAUUGCAAAAACCAAAGGAACCAAAUGCUAUUGGGGGUGCGUUCAUAAUGCAUAAAGAUGCGUAAUUCUACAAGUAAAAACAGAAAAUAAGAGAGCCACUCGGAAUUGUAUUUACAGUUAUAAAAGGCUGAAGUAUUUUUAUUUAAUUUCCUUGUAUCGAGAGAUUACAUGAGUAUAUACUGGGACAAAUGGAUGCCUUAUAAAGCAUCAGUAAGUAACUUAUUUUUUAAUUAAAAAAGAUAGCAAGCGAUCUGCUUCACUCAUUAAGAGAACUACAACUACAAUUUAUCGACACACUAUUUAAAGGCGAUGAACUAGAUUUUCUCUUGCUCUCAAUGGAGCACUCUCUCUGAUGCGGAUCACUCUCAACAUCUCUGGGUGCCACAUAAAUCUCAGUACUUGUGCUACCUUGAACGAAAAAGGCGGGAUAUGAAAGGUUUUGAUAGAUUGACACUGUUACUAUUAAGCAUGAGUACAACAGAGGCCAUUGUUGGUCUCAUUCUUGGGUCAUCUUGAGCACAAAGAAGGCCAAUUUUAUAAAAAUAAAUUUUAGAUAAAAUUAGAUAUAUUUCAUACAUUAGAAUUAUAUAAAAAUAAGUUUGCAGAUAAAGUGAGUUAUAGAUACUAUUCUUAGAUGAGAAAUUAAUACACGCAACUAGUGCACCACGCUUGAUAUGUGCUAAACCCUCCACAACAGCAUCAAAAUUAAACUAUAAUUUUUUACGUGUAAUUCAUAACAUUAAAAAGAUUUACGUAUAUCAAAAAGACAUAAAUGUAAGAUAUUUAUUUUUAUGAAAAUGCUACCUAGUACGUAUGUAUAAGUGUGCAAUCGUACAUCUUUGACAUUUAGUUUAAAAAGGGAAAAAAAUAAAGUGAUAAAAAUAGUGGGAGAUUAGGGGCCUUUGGAUAGUUGGGUAUAAAUGUUAUGCCUGUCCUAUUAAUGUACAUGUAGUAUUGCUCUCAGUAUUCUGUUCUUUUGACAAUUAGACCCGAAAGUUGAAUAAACACCAUUAAUACAUGUAGUAUUAGUGGGACUUCCUGUUUUUGUUUUCUUCUCUCUUUGAUUUUUUGCUCUUGCUCCUUUAAUCUCCCCUUCAUUGCUUUCCUUUUUCUCGGAGGCCCCAGCUGCCUUCAUCCUGCACGUCUAGUUCAUUUUCCUUAAUGAAUAAAGCAGAUAUAUAGUUUGCUACAUUUUUCUAAAAAAAAAACAAUUAGACCCUAAAGUUCAAUAAACACCAUUUCUUUAAUAGAAGUUUCUAAUUAUACUGUUAUUUUGAUAGUAUAUCAUGUAUAUAAUCUUAUAAAGUUUCAGAAUAAAAUUUUUUUUUAUUUUUUUGUUUAAUAUAUAUACAAAAAAGCAACAAAAAUCAAAGGUGAUUCAUUAUAUUCUUCUAUUCUUAUCCUUAAUUAUCAAAAUUAGAAGAGAAAAAAAGAGAUUUUGUUCUAGCAUUUAAAGUCUUACAAAAUUACGUUUAUGACAACCAAAGCAAAAUGACCAUAAAAUAAAUAAUUUUUAAUUAAGGAGGCAACACCAUUAAACUAUUUGAUAAAAUCUUAAAAAGACUAAUCGUUAAAAUUGAAAGUCCACUGACAGCAAAAGUUGUUGCAUAGAAAUUAAAGCCUGUACUUUUUGGUCAAAGACAUCAAUUGUAUUAUUAUACUUUACCAAUUUUUACACUGUAUUUUAGAUUUAUUUUUAUUUUUUUAUUUUGUACUAUUUUUUUCUGAUAAAUAUUACUACACUAUUUUCUUCGCCGGUAUUUACAUUACUAUGAAGAAAUUUAUUAUUUAAAAAAAAAUCUAACAAUUUUAUUAAAAAACACCGGUUAAAUAAUAAUAAUAAAAUAUAAAAUAAAUCUCCAGAAUAAUCUCAUCGAAACCUUCUAUCAAAUUGUUUUCGCUAUUUUUAUAUAUUUUAUUAUUUAUUAUAUUAAAAUGAGCCGGACGUAUAUAUAUGUCACUUUUAACUAGUAUUUUUCAACAGAUUUUAUUAAAAAUAUAAGUGUAUUACGUAUAGUACGGUAGGGAGUGUAAAAAAAAUUAGUUAAUCUGUGCCUUUGAAAAAGAUAAUAGUAUAAUUGAGUUUACAUUUAAAAUUUAAAUUUAAAGAUUCAAAUUAUGUCAGGGGCAAUUUGAAAAUUAUAAAAAUAUUUUUAAUUAGAUUUCCCGGAUUCGGGAGUACUAGAAGGUAGCCACCCUUUCCUCGGUAAUAGUAUUGUCUCUCUAUUCCCAUGCCAGUCUAUGGGAUUGUUCGAAGGUGAAUAGUCGACGAGGUCCCACCCACCGCACUCAUGGCCCAUGUCACACGCAAUUAACAAACGAACAAGACCGGACGUACAUGUCAACGCCAUUAUUUUCAAAUAUUCAUUUAUUAUUGUUUCCUUCACAGUAUAAUCCCGUAUUAAUUCCAAUAUAUCAUUCCUUCCCAUUUGUGAGAAAAGUAGAAAACUAUAUGGAGCCUCCCCCUCUCCUCUUCCUCCUCUGCUCCCUCCUCCUCCUCAUUCUUCUCCGCACCCCCACUUCCAAAUCCCAGCCCAUCUCCGUCAACUGCACCAGCGACGCGAACUACACGGCGAACAGCGCCUUCGAGUCGAACCUCAACCUCCUCCUGUCUUCCCUCCCCUCCGCCGCCGCCCCGUCCGGCUUCUACAACACCACGGUCGGUCGGAGCGGCGCCGACCAAGUCUACGGCCUCGCAUUAUGCCGCGGCGACAUCUCCGCUGCCGACUGCAACAACUGCUUGACUACCGCCACGCAAGACGCCGUCGCCAACUGCCCGCACAGCACGUCGAACACCAUGUGGUACGACACCUGCAUGCUGCGCUACUCUGACCAGAGCUUCUUCUCCGUCGCUGACAGCUCGUUCCACAUAAACAUGUGGAAUGUGCAGAGCGUCACGAAUCCGCGGCUGUUCGUUGACCAGCUUGGGCAGCUGCUGACUAGCUUGGCCAUGAAAGCGACCGAUGGGUCGGGGCGGCCACCGUUAUUCGCGGUGGGGCAGGUCAACUUCACGAACUUUCAGAAGAUAGGAAACUUUCACAGCAUAUACGGGCUGGUGCAGUGCACGAGGGAUCUGUCGCUGACCGGUUGCUAUGGGUGCUUGAUGGGUUGCAUCGGGCACAUACCCAAGUGCUGCAACACGACGAUCGGCGCAAUAAUUUUCGGAGGGAACUGUGUCAUCCAGUUUCGGCCGGCUCCGUUUUAUAAUUUGUCGGCCAUCCAGAACGAGACGGCACCGCCUCCUCCGCAAUCCAAUGGGACGCUAUCGCCGCGGGCAGGGUCGGGUCAGAAUACUGGUAAUGGCAGCAGUCAAACGGGGGGUAAGGGUAGCGGAGGUAAGUCAAAGCCUCGUUCCCUCGUUGACUCCGCACUGUGGGAUUUGCUAUUGUGGGGUUUGUAGGAAAUUUCUAUUGAUUGGCAUGUGGGGGAUCACAUUUAACUCGUGUGAGGUAGGUAGAAUUGCAGGACAUCUUUUGCCCCCCUUUGUUUGUUUUUUUUUUUUUUUUUUGAGAGAUAGAUAGCACGCUACCCGCUUCGUUUAUUUUAUUUAGAAAUAAACUUAGCUAGAAAUGUGAAGCAACUAGGAUUCGAACUUAGAUCUUGGAUACCAACCAUCAAGCCUUUUGCCACUUGCUCUAGGAACAGUCGAUCUUUUGCCCCCUUUGUUAAUUACUUGCGAGAAUCAUCCACCGUUGCUUUGAAUGUAAACAAUAUGGUUUUCAACGUGGUAUUUCAAAAGAAAAAAAAAAAAAAAUCUUUUGAAAGACUUUGUUUACCGUGAACUCAGCUUGAAAUAUAAGAAAACUGACUUCAAACUUUGAAAUUUUAUAUACCAAUCAUCAAAGUUCUUAACUAACUGAACAGAUACGGUGGGUAACAACUGUGAAAACAUUGAAAGUUAUAAGCGUAUAUAUACAAGUGAAAGUUUUGUUAGUUACCGGAAUGAACCGACUCUUUUUGCUUGAUUUGAUUUAAAAUAAUUUGACUCUUUUUUUCUAAAAACAACUAAUAAUUCGACUUGCUUUGAUCGAUAUUACAUGUUAAAGGAAAAGAAAACACAUUAUAUGAAUGAAUUGAAUCUAAAAUUUCCUUCUGUUUGAUUUCGAGAACUAAGUAGGAUCACUUACUUUUUGUGCAGGAAUUAAUGGAACUACAAAGACAAUUAUUAUUGUCGUCAGUUCUUUGGUUGCUGCUGCAUUGUUGCUUCUCUCUGCUAUCUCUCUCUGCCUGAGAAUAAGAAAGAAACAAAGAAAACCAGUUGGAAAUGCUCCGAUCAGUAAGUUCCGCACAUAAUUAUAUAUAAUUCAACACACGCAGUGAAACAUAAAAAUUCAUUUAUGUACUAAGAUCCUGGUCUUCAUGAAGCAAAUGGAGGAGAUGAGCAGGAAAUUAGAAGCGCGGAAUGUCUAUUGUUCGAUUUGGCCACAAUACGAGCUGCCACAAGCAACUUCUCAGAGGCAAAUAAUUUAGGAGAAGGUGGAUUUGGACCAGUGUAUAAGGUGAAUUCUCUACUCUUUAAGUGCUCCAAUUAAAUUACAUAAUCUGCAAAAGACAAUACAUUUAGCUUUUGCAUUCUGAAUGUUAAGAAGUACUACUAGGCUCUAAAUGUUUUUUUUUUUUGAGAUAAAGGUAGCAUGCUACCGCUUCAUUCAUAGGGAAGGUGAAUUUAGCAUCGAAGGGAAGCGACUGGGCUUCAAAUUAAAAAAAAAAAAACCCUAAUUAGCUAAACGCAAUAAGAGUCCCACAUGUUGUACAUAGCUCGUAGGUCUACCAUCACCUGUCUCGUGGUGCGCUUUUGGUUCUCGAAAAUUCGCCUAUGUCGUUCUAGCCAAAUAGGCCACCAAGUAGCAAGUAAAAUUGCUGAUUCCUUCCUUCCUAGAACUCCUUGUUUACUGCUGCAUUUCUUCCACAGGUCACCCAUUGACCUAUAAGUCCCUAGACCCCGUUUGUUUGGCAUAAGCAGCAUAGAAUCGCACGUGAAACCUCGCAGUUUAAGAAAAGAUGGUCAAUACUCUCUGGGUCAAUCAAGCAGAGGGCACACGUGUCCGCGCCCGACCAUCCCCUUUUCAUAAGAUUGUCAAUCGUGAGAACCUUCCACCUCACCAUAAGCCAACCAAAAAUUUUAACUUUUAAGGUAUCUUGGUUGUCCAAAUCAGCUCCCAGUACGUCUCUGUUACCCCGCUCUCCUGUAAGAAGUUAUACAAUGAUUUAACCGUGAAAACUUGUGAAUGAUUCCAUCUCCAUCUUACUUCGUCUCCGUUAUUUGUUAGUGUAACAGUGCUUAGCAACUCCUUCAACUCCACGAUUGCAUCGUCAUCUGCAAUGGAACUUGGUGUAAACCUGAGCAAAAUCCUGCGCCACCUCCACCCGUUGGUACCUGAACAGUCUUGCACAAGGUGAUUCUUCCUAACAACAGCGUUGAAAAUACGGGAGAACUUCGACUGCAGUGAAAGUUGAGCACACCAUCGGUCCUUCCAAAGGUUCACGGUGCUCCCAUCCCCAAUCGUAAAAGAACCCCGCACCGAAAGAUGUCCCUAGUUGACAAGACGCUUAGCCACAAUUGAGAGUACGGUCUAAACGUGGCCGCUUCCCAAAAAGGUUUUCUCCUUUUAUAGUAAGCCGCGCGUAAGAACGAUCUCCAUAAAGUUGUCUUGUCCGAAUAGAACCUCCACCACCACUUUGCAAGUAACGCCACAUUCAUGGUUUCUAGGUCCUUCACCCCUAGCCUCCCAUCUCUUUUGCUCCUACAGACCAUUUUCCAUCUGACCAAACAUUGACCCCCUGUUACCAUGCUCCUUCCUUUCCAAAAGAACGCCCGCCGCAAACCUUCGAUUCUCUUAAUUACCCACUUAGGUGCUCUAAAGAUAGAGAAGAAGUAGAGUGGUAGGUUGGAGAGUACUGACUUAACCAAGACGAGCCUGCCGCCAAUGGAAAGGAGUUUAGCUUGCCAUCCUUCUACCCGUUGCUGAACUCUAUCGAUGAUUGGUCACCAGUCCAAUCUGUUUAGCGGUCUGUUUGUUAGCGGCAGCCCGAGAUAUCUCAUCGGGAAUGACCCCAUUUACAUCUUAAAAUUUUCGCUAGCCUUUCUCCCUACUGUAUAUUUCUCCCUAGAUAGAAAAGUUCAGACUUGCUCCUGUUGAUUUUUAGUCCCGAGGCCCAUUCGAAGAUAUGCCAUACAAAAUGUAGAUUCCUCACUUGUCUGUUCCUAGCCUCACAGAAGAAGAUGGUAUCAUCAGCAUACUGAAUAAAUGCUACCUUACUCUAAUCGUUAGGUCCAACUCCUCUCAUCAAUCCGUUACAUACUGCUUUAUUCAUGACCCUUGCAAGGCCUUCCGCAACUAAGAGAAAAAGGUAGGGGGAUAAUGGAUUCCCUUGCCAGAGUCCUCUUCUAGUUUUAAUCCAUUUAGUCGGGACGCCGUUAAUAAGUAUAGCAAUUUUAGCAUUAGCUAUACAUUGAUCAAUCCAACUGAUCCAAAGCUGUGAGGCUCCAAGCCAGGACAAGAUUUUUCGAAGAAAGGCCCAGCUCACCCUGUCAUAUGCUUUCUCAAAAUCGGCUUUUACACCAAUACUCUUGGUCCCUGUUUUAGAACACCAAUUUACUACCUCACUAGCAGUGGCGAAGGAGUCUAAGAUCGACCUUCCCUUGAGAAAGGCCGAUUGCGAAGGGGAAAUCACAUUGUGUAGGACACCCUCAAGUCUAUUUGCAAGCACUUUUGAGAUAAUUUUUUGAGCACUGUGAUCAGACUGAUUGGCCGAAAAUCAUUGGCAGUCUUUGCUCCUUCUUUCUUCGGGAUCAGGCAGAUGUACGAAUAGUCUAGAGGGGAUGAGUUUAGCACCCCGUCUGCCAGGUCCCGAAAGAUGUUGAAAAGAUCAUUCUUAAUAGUGUCCCAGAAAACCUGAAAAAAUCGAAGGUUGAAGCCGUCCGGCCCGGGCGCUUUAUUCUCCGCAAGUUGGAAAGUUGCCUUUUUUAUCUCUUCGAGGGAGAAUGGUGAGGUGAGAUGGUUAAGCCUAAGCAGGGGUCUCUCCGAGAAUAGCUCACUCCAGUCGCCACACGAGAGUCUAUCAGUCUGUGCCGGUGCGAACUCCCCUUUAAAAUCCAAAAAAAUACUCCCGAAUAUCCUCCUCCCUUUGGAGUGUCUUGCCGUCCUCUUCGACAAAGCCAAUUGUAUUCUCGUGUCUUCUACCAUUUGCCGUAGCAUGGAAGAACUUCGUGUUACCAUCUCCCUCCUUUAACCAGUGCUGUUUGGCUCGCGUCUUCUACAAUAUUUUCUCAUCUAAUAUCACUUUUGACAAGCGCGCCUUGAUCUGUUUCCUUCUCUCAAUUUGUUGUUCCGUAAGAAUUUGUUGCUCCUCUAGAAUAUCAAGCUUCUGGAUUUCUUCAACCAGUUCUUUCUUCACCCUCAAAAUGCCGUAGAAAUGCGCCGCUCUCCACUCCUUCAUUCUUUUGCGGCAAUGCCUGAGCUUGGCGACAAAGGUGGUAGCACUAUUGUCUGUACGAGAUAUCUCCUCCCACCAUACCGGCACAAGCGUACAGAAAUCUUCUCGUGUUAACCAAAUUUCCUCGAAUCUAAACGAACACUGGGGUCUCUUAUCCGAAGACGACAACAAGAUAGGCGCGUGAUCCGAGGUGAUCCUCGGCAGCGCGAUCGCUUUUGAUAGCGGAAAAGAGUGAUCCCAUUCGGUUGAGACAAGAAAUCGAUCCAACUUAGCCAAGGUAGGGCACUGCUGCAUGUUAGACCACGUGAAGCUUUGGUUCCCUAACAGAAUGUCGAUUAGCUCCAACGUAUUUAAGAGGUCAGUAAACAUUGUCAUAAGUCUUCUACUCCAGCUUCUUCCCCUUCUCUUGUUCUGGUUCUUGGUAAGGUUGAAAUCACUGCACAUAAUCCACCUUCCUUUGCAAAUACUCUUGAGAUCAGACAAUUCCUUACAAAAAUCCACCUUUCCUUCCCACGAGGGGGGGCCAUAUACAUUAGUUAAGAAGAAAAAGCAAUUGCUGGCAACAUGUGAGAGUCGAACGGAUAGCGAGAAAUUUCGCACUACAACCUCCAUACACACGGAAUCAUGUGAGUUCCAACAGGUAACAAUUCCGCCCGAAGCUCCAUCAGACUUAAUAAACUGACAUCUAUCAAAAUACGCCCCCGCAAAAGACCGCAGAAACGAACGGGAAAUAACAUCUACUUUGGUUUCCUGGAGACAAAUCACAGACUUCUUGACAUUCAAACAGACAGACUUCACGACUCCCCGUUUACCCGAAUCAUUAAGACCCCUAACAUUCCAACUUAAAACUUGAAACAUGGAAACAGAAAAAACACCACAAAAGCUCGUAAGAACUGUCUGGACUCUAGACCGAAGCUCUAAUAAAAUCAAAGAGGUUGCGCGUAUCAUCGCUGCUCAGAGAAAUCUCACAUAGCGCACUUUUCUCUUUGAUUUUAUGAAGACGACUGUUGGCCGCCAUCUUUUGACAACUAGAAAACGGUAUUUUUAAUAUUUUGUAUCCAUCAUUUUCUUUCAUAUCUUGUGUCAUGACUUCUUUAUUAACUCAGAACCUCUUACUCUAAUUAUAUAUAUUAGUAAUCAUUUGUUUCUUAAAACUUAUAUUACUAUAAAAUAAAUUUUUUAACAUUUGUAUAUGACACUAAAAACAGGGGAUGCUACAAGAUGGGCAGGAAAUAGCAGUGAAGAGGCUCUCAGUGAGCUCGGUACAGGGGCUUGUUGAGCUGAAAAAUGAGGUGGUGCUUGUAGCAAAGCUUCAGCAUAGAAAUCUGGUGAGGCUACUUGGUUGCUGCUUAGAAGAGCAAGAAAAACUUCUUGUCUAUGAAUACCUGCUCAACAAAAGCCUUGAUAAGUUUCUCUUUGGUAUGGCUCAUCUCAACAUAAUUGUUUAUUAAUAUUGCUAUUUCAGUUGCAGUAGCCUCCAUUCAAUAGAAGUACUCUUUUUUAACUUGUUUUAGUCACUUGGAUACAUUUUCUGCAAGUCAUUUUGGCUUCUAAAACAGGUUUCCUUAUUUUUAGGGCUGUGAAAUUAUCUGUAUGAAUGAAAAUGUUAUGAUUAAUUGUAGUGAUUAAUUAAGAAAUACCAUAUAUGUAACACUAUUUUACUCAAACAAAGCAGAUCCUGUGAGGCGUGAACAAUUAGAUUGGGUCAUACGGUUCAAAAUCAUCGAAGGGAUCAGUCGAGGACUACUCUAUCUCCACGAAGAUUCGAGGCUAAAGAUAGUUCACCGCGACCUGAAAGCGAGUAACAUCUUGUUAGAUGCCUUUAUGACCCCUAAAAUCUCCGACUUUGGUCUCGCAAAGCUCUUCGACGCCGAUGCGAGCGAAGGAAAUACGACUCGAAUUGCCGGAACAUAGUAAGCACAUCCUACACCCAAAACUCAAUACAAAAAAAAAAGAUUCACUAGAUUUUCUCUACCAAAGAGAAACUCAUAAAAUAUUAAAACUUGAUUUUCUAUUGCAGCGGAUAUAUGGCACCAGAGUAUGUAAUGUACGGACACUUCUCAACGAAGUUAGAUGUUUUUAGUUAUGGUGUGUUGGUUUUGGAGAUUGUGACUGGACAAAGGAAUGCUCGACCUCGAGGAGCUAUUCAUUCAGAAGGCGUUCUAUCUUACGUAAGCAUAUCUAUACCUUAAUAGGUGGAUAAGAUAUUCAUUUGCAAUUUACGAUCUUGGAUUCAUAUCAGAGAUGGCGACAAAAAUAAAAAAUUUAUUAGAGUUUCAUGUAAAAUCUAAAAAGAGUAUUCAAUCUUUGAAAAAUUUUAUUUUGCCGCCUUACUUUUUUUGAAGGCACCUGGUGAAAACUUCGACGGCUUUGACGCUCCUAGUCACGAUGAAUUUUUCUUAAUAAAUCGAGGUAAUUUCUGCUGCUAAGUGUAGCUCUUUCUUUUAAAUAGGUGUGGAAGCACUGGUGUGAAGGGACUGCACACGAGGUGCUCGACCCGAGCCUCGCGGGGCGGUGCCGGUCGCAAGACGUGCUGAGAUGCAUCCACAUUGGGCUGCUGUGCGUCCAGGAGAACCCGUCUAAGCGGCCGAGCAUGGCGUCCGUCGUGCUCAUGCUCAGCAGCCUCUCCUUCACCCUCCCCGCCCCCUCGGCCCCUCCUUUCGUCAUCCAGAACGGCUCAACUGCAGACUACGCGAACGAGAUCGAGACCGAUGCAUCCGGCAGGCAGCAGCGGAGGACGACGAUGGCAGCAUCAGCAAACGAUGUCUCCGUUUCAGAACUCGAGCCACGGUAGCGUCUCGAUCGGAGCUGGGAAAUACUAAACAGAAAUACACUGAAUUCGAGUGGCAAAAAAGUGUGAUUUUCUUCGUUGCCGCGCGAAUAAACGGCAGAGCCGUUGUGAAUCUAGCUAGAUUUACGUAAGCUUGAUCAUUUUUGUGACUUGCCUUCUUUGGAAUGCUAUGGCAAGAAGAUUUUUUUUUUACUCAGUAUCUCUCUUUUAACUGUGCAAAAAUGUAAUACAAUAAAUUAUAAAAUGCCUCUUCGUAUUUUAGUCUCUCUUUCAAACACACUUUAUAUUAAAAAUUGUGUUAAUUUUUAUCUGACAAUUUAUUAUUAUUUUAAAAGAUCUAAAGCUAUAUAAUAAUGGUUAAAUUUAAUUGUAAAAUUUUAUAAAAAUAAAUUUAUGGAUAAAAUUAGAUAUAUUUAAUACAUUAGAAUUAAUAUAAAAAUAAGUUGGCAAGGCGAUUUCAAAUAAGGACUUCGACAAGGCCCCAAAAGUCUAGUAUAGACGACCUUUGAAAUUCAAAUUUCAAACGGAAAAUGCCGACAAAUAGCGCGUUGAUUAUAACUACGCCAUAUUUGAACCAAGGGGAUAUAAAAAAAGGAGGAACCAACACAAGAGAGGAGAUACCAAAGGCAUCAAAUCGUACAAGCCUUUAUCUUUAAUCGAUCCCUAGAAGUAACCUAAAAAUAGCUGUAAUGUACAGAUCUCUUGCCUGCAAAAGAUUGUCAUCCGACCAUCAUCGGACCGUCCCCGCUCCUCAUCGGACCGAUCACCGUUCGUUCUCCGAUCUGCGCAUGAAAUAAAGUCAGCUCAGUACAAAAAAAUUAAUAUCUAAGGACGUUCUUUUUAUAUAUUUAAUUCUGCUUAAAAGCAUUUCAAAAUAAUCUAUCCUCGUAUUUGAAAACGUCGGCUAAAUGUCGGCAAAUGAAGAGCAACUACAUAUACACUAACGCUUACGUACUCAAGCAUCGGUAAAAUAUAUUCCGACGUUUUAAAGAGUCAUAAUUUUUCAAAAUCCUCAUAAUUUAAAAUAUUGAAAAAUUUAAAAUAAUAAUAAAACUUACUAUUUAAUAAAUUAUUUUGAUAGAAUAGAUGGUUUCGACGGUGCUUUUUAAACCGUCGAUAUUUGAUAUAUUGUAUGAAUGCUUAGGGACGCUUCGUUCAAACGUAAUAGAAAAAGUAUCCUUAUAUUAAGAUUUUCUUGUAGUGAAUUCAACUUUCGAUCAGAGAGAGUUGGCAGACCAACUAAAGCGCAUCACGCUUCGGUUGGCAGGCCAACUUCAGAUCAGAGAGAGUUGGCAUAUUUGCUAUAUUUCUUAAUUCUCCCAAAAGAAUAGUUGCAUAUUAGAUCUUAAGCUUAAGUAUAACAUAUUUUUAUACUCCGUCAAUCUUCUCGAUAAUUUGUAUGAUAUGGAACAACAACUGUUUUUACUUUAUUUUUUUUUAUAUAAAAUUGGAAAAAGAAUGGUCGUUUUGGAAUUGGAUGGUGACGGGAGAGACUAUGCAUUCUGACAGAUUUGAUCGAGAAAAUUGUAAUUAGAAAACCGCGUCAGACAGAACUAAUGCUGGACUUUCGAACGACUGCGCACACGCGGUGACAAAACGAACCUCUUUUUCUAAUAAAAGUUUUGUAGACGUAGAAAAAAGUGCGGCACAAGCCACGUCGUCGAUUCAGCAGUCAACGGUCACUAGUCAAUGGUCCAACAUCCAAAUGUCUAUUAAUUAUUAUUGUGUCCUUCGCAAUAUAAUCCCAUGUUGCAAUGUCAUUCCUUCCUACUUGUGAGAAAAAUAGAAAACUAUGGAGCCUCUCCCUCUCCCCUUCCUCCUGUGCUCCCUCCUCCUCCUCAUUCUCCUCCACACCCCCACAUCAAAAUCCCAGCCCAUCUCUGUCGACUGCCCCACCAACGCGAACUACACGGCGAACAGCACCUACCAGUCCAACCUCAACCUCCUCCUGUCUUCCCUUCCCUCCGCCGCCGCCCCGUCCGGCUUCUACAACACCACGGUCGGUCCAAGCGGCGGUGACCAAGUCUACGGCCUCGCGUUAUGCCGCGGCGACGUCUCCUCUGCCGACUGCAACACCUGCUUGACUACCGCCGCGCAAGAUGCCGUCGUAAAGUGCCCGCACGGCAGGUCGAACACCAUGUGGUACGACGGCUGCAUGCUGCGCUACUCCAACCAGAGCUUCUUCGGAGUUGCUGACAGCGCGUUCCGGAUAUACAUAAUCGAGAUGCAGAACGUCACGGAGCCGCAGCUGUUCGAUGACCAGCUCGGGAAGCUGAUGAAUAACUUGGCCACGAAAGCGGUCAAUGGGGCGGGGCGGCCACCGUUAUUCGCGGUGGGGGAGGUCAACUUUACGAGCUUUAAUAACAUAUACGGGCUGGCGCAGUGCACGAGGGAUCUGUCGCCGGCCGACUGCUAUGGGUGCUUGACGAGUUACAUCGGGAGCAUCCCCCAGUGCUGCGCAACCAAGAUCGGCGCGAGGAUUUUCGGAGAGAACUGUGUCGUCCAUUUUGAGCCGACGCUGUUUUAUAAUUUGUCGGCCAUCGAGAACGAGACGGCACCACCUCCUCCGCAAUCCAAUGGGACGCCAUCGCCGCCGGCAGGGUCGGGUCAGAAUACGGGCAAUGGCAGCAGUCGAACGGGCGGUAAGGGUAGCGGAGGUAAGUCAAAGUCUCUUUCCCUCCUU
rnacentral:lncRNA from 1 species